rnacentral:tRNA from 1 species
UAGUAGGUUGGCAGAAUAGUGCCAUCGACUUAGAAUCGAUUCAUGGGUGUUUCCCACUUACUAC